GACGAACGCUGGCGGCGUGCUUAACACAUGCAAGUCGAACGGUGAACCUCUUCGGAGGGGAUCAGUGGCGAACGGGUGAGUAACACGUGGGCAACCUGCCCCCGGCUCUGGGAUAACUCCAAGAAAUUGGGGCUAAUGCCGGAUGUUCACCGCUUCCCGCAUGGGUGGUGGUGCAAAGGGUUUCCGGCUGGGGAUGGGCCCGCGGCCUAUCAGCUUGUUGGUGGGGUAGUGGCCUACCAAGGCGACGACGGGUAGCCGGCCUGAGAGGGUGACCGGCCACACUGGGACUGAGACACGGCCCAGACUCCUACGGGAGGCAGCAGUGGGGAAUAUUGCGCAAUGGGCGGAAGCCUGACGCAGCGACGCCGCGUGGGGGAUGACGGCCUUCGGGUUGUAAACCUCCUUCAGCAGGGACGAAGCGCAAGUGACGGUACCUGCAGAAGAAGCACCGGCCAACUACGUG
rnacentral:rRNA from 1 species